CUGAAAUCCAGCACGGACCGCCGAGAGUGGAGC
rnacentral:sRNA from 1 species